rnacentral:miRNA from 1 species
AAGGAGAUCUUGGACACCAC